rnacentral:rRNA from 1 species
ACUCCUACGGGAGGCAGCAGUGGGGAAUAUUGCACAAUGGGGCACGCAAGCCUGAUGCAGCCAUGCCGCGUGUGUGAAGAAGGCCUUCGGGUUGUAAAGCACUUUCAGUCGGUGAGGAAGGUAGUUGUAUUAAUAGCUGCAUUAUUUGACGUUAGCGACAGAAGAAGCACCGGCUAACUCCGUGCCAGCAGCCGCGGUAAUACGGAGGGUGCGAGCGUUAAUCGGAAUUACUGGGCGUAAAGCGCAUGCAGGUGGUUUGUUAAGUCAGAUGUGAAAGCCCGGGGCUCAAGCCUCGGAA